AAAGUUUCUUUCUGGGCUACGACACUGAUAUCUAGUACAUUGUCACAGUCGGAUACACACCUCCUGCAACAGAUGCUGGAGUUGCUAUUCCCAUAAGCAAAAUGACAGAUGAUCAGAAGCGCGAAUUCAAGAAUCAUCACAAAGCCAGAACGAUACUUAUCAAUGCCAUAUCCUACAAUGAGUAUGAAAAAAUCACCAACAGGGAAACAACUAAAGAUAUACUCGAC
rnacentral:lncRNA from 1 species